rnacentral:rRNA from 1 species
UCUGGUGAUGAUGGCGGAGGGGAUCCACCCGUUCCCAUACCGAACACGGAAGUUAAGCCCUCCAGCGCCGAUGGUACUUGGGCUUAAGCCCUGGGAGA